GUGCUUCAGCAGCACAGACACGAAAACUGGUACAAUAUGGAGAAGACUAGCUUGGCCCUGUGCAAGGAUGGCAUGCAAGUCUGUGAAGUGUUCCACAUAUAU
ensembl:snRNA U6 U6 spliceosomal RNA